GUGGACGACAUGGACGACGAGGGACAGAGUGGAACGCAGCGCGGUGAAACGGCAGCGGCUGUUCUGUUAAGGCCGCACGACGGAUAUGGGCAACAGGGAGAUAGGAGGCAAGAGGCCUUCAAAAGGGUUGCUGGACAGGGAUAGAGCAGAUGCACAUCCUAAUAUGCGGCCACAGCAUGGUCUUCCGGGCACCCUGGAGGGCAGCGAAUUCGAGCAUGGGCUCGCAGUUGGGCCUCAGUAGAGGGGCUGUUGUGCAGUGGCUGGACCGGCAAGAAAUGCAUGGGGAGUGGCUCCUACCCGCUCUGUUCCAGCAAGGUGUGGUGCAGAUAUUUCUGCAGGCAAUGGUCAUCCACCUCGGUGGUAAUGACCGCGCCGUGAAGCAGGGCAAGGCCCUCAGCGUACAGGCAUGUAAGGACAUGCAAGUGAUAAGGCAGCGUUGGCCUUUGGUGCGUCUGAUGUGGUCAGACAUGGCGCGGCAUAUGGGAUCCAGCUGGAAUUGAUCAUGCAUGGAAGAAGGUCAACCGGCAAAUUCGGUGGGCUCUUCUUGGGCAGGGGGGGUUGGCCAUUCCGCAUCCCCGCAUUCAGCACCGGAAGGGUGAACUGUACAGGGCCGAUGGCGUUCACCUGUCUCAUGCAGGUAACGACUUAUUUUGGGCGACCUGCAGGGGUGUCUGCGAGAGAUGUUUCUUGGCAGUGGGGUAAAGGGGGACUAAAUAGAGAUUUGUCCCCCUUUUGUGGCGGGAAGGUGAGGGAAGGGAAAUAGGUAAGGACAGCUAGGUGGCCCCCUUAGGCACCUUUGGAGGUGACUGGCGGUUCCAGAGGCCUGUCUCUCAGGGCUUUACGGCUCGAGGGCAGGAUAUGGGCUGCUUCUGGGGCCAACUUAUCCUCAUCUACCCAGGGGUUAUACGGCCCUGGGUGGGGAUGAUGUGGGAAGGCCCCCCUACUCACCUGCAGGGUGUGGCUGGGGUAAAGGGUAAGCAGAUGGGCUUGCCCUUGCCCCAGCAGGGGCUGGUCGCCCGAGAGCUGUAUGGCAAGCUACUUGCUUAUAGACAGUUCCCGCACCUAGGUUUCCCUCUGCAGGUCACUUUAAAUUGGGUUUUGUUUACUAUAAUUUAAAUAAAGUGGCCCUUGUUCAACCCAAGCUGACGUCUCUGUGUUUUAUUUCACCCCUCAACUGCAAAUCAGCUGUUUAUUUAGAUGUUUUAUCACCCUAGGAGCUCUCCAACAUCAGGAGGAGUUUUCUUUGCAAAGGGAUUCCAAAAGUCGUAAGAUCCCCAAUACUCCUCCAGCUAAUAUUUGAGAACUAAUUAGUAUGAAGUUAUGGCUACCAACUUCAGAAGGAUGACACUUGAUAACCUCUCCUGUAUUCUCUUCAAGAUGCUCUGAGCUUCUGGAUGGAAGAUCAAGACAUACAUUAAGAGCUGGCCAAAAGACAAGAGAUCGAUGUGAAAAGACAAUAAAAGUAAUUUUGUUAUGAAGACUUCCGGGCAGUAGUAAGAACAGCAUACCUUGUUCAGCCAUUCUGCUCUCUCUGUAUCUGGAAAGUGGACCUAACAAAAAGAAAAUUGUAAAUGAUUAGAUAAAAAAAUCUUUAAGAUCAUCGUGGAAAAUCUGGCAAUCUUUUAACUAUUAUCUUCAAGUGCUAGAACGGCAUUGUGUACCAGAUGCUGCCAGUGCAUGCUACCAUAAGCGCUUUGAACUUUUCAUUAUAACCAGCUCUAUAGCACUAGUCAUGGGUUCAUGCAUCCCCCCCACACAAAAGGGGGGGGGAAGCUUCACAUUGUUUGCAUUAAUCAUACAUUGCUAUAACAUCUAUAUAAGCAAACUACAAUUAGUAUCUCCCCUCCAAACCAAAUGAGAAACCAUAAUCUGAAGUGGAUUUCUGACUCUGGUUUGGAAGGCAAGCACAAACUGCAAUGUGCUAAUUCAGAUAUCAAUGAAAACUGUGGUUUGCUAAACUACCAAGUAAAGCUGUGCUUGAGAUGAGAGUAAGUGUGUGCAUGCCCAUCAUUUCUAGUAGUGAAGAUCAUGGUUUGACCAUCUGAAUUGAACCAUUUUAUUUUAAAAUGUUUGACAGAUAUUUGUUAUCAUGUCCCAUCGAAUCCAAUGCUCCUGACUUAACCACAGUUAAAACCAUGGCAGCUAUACAAACUGUACAUGGCAUAUACAUCAUGUACCAUCUCUCCUUCUCCUUGCAUGCAAAUUCCCAUCAACCUACCUACUGUGACCUUAAUAUGAUUAAAAGGUAUAUCAGCACUAGUCUUAACAGUGUCUUGCUAACCAACUGUGAUCCAUGGUUAGAAGAUCAGGAGCGUACAUCUGAACUGUUCUGUCCCCAUGACUAUUAAUAGCUUAUAUACAAAAAAACCCCAUCAACUUGCUGGCGUCCACUUUCUUCAAGCAAAGUUAGUUUUAUUUUUACUGCUUAUGCUGGCUCAUUGUGGUAUAAAAUGAAUGAUGGCUGGUCCA